AUUGAACGCUGGCGGCAGGCUUAACACAUGCAAGUCGAGCGGGGUGAUGGUGCUUGCACUAUCACUUAGCGGCGGACGGGUGAGUAAUGCUUAGGAAUCUGCCUAUUAGUGGGGGACAACAUCUCGAAAGGGAUGCUAAUACCGCAUACGUCCUACGGGAGAAAGCAGGGGAUCACUUGUGACCUUGCGCUAAUAGAUGAGCCUAAGUCGGAUUAGCUAGUUGGUGGGGUAAAGGCCUACCAAGGCGACGAUCUGUAGCGGGUCUGAGAGGAUGAUCCGCCACACUGGGAGUGAGACACGGCCCAGACUCCUACGGGAGGCAGCAGUGGGGAAUAUUGGACAAUGGGGGGAACCCUGAUCCAGCCAUGCCGCGUGUGUGAAGAAGGCCUUAUAGUUGUAAAGCACUUUAAGCGAGGAGGAGGCUCUUUUGGUUAAUACCCAAGAUGAGUGGACGUUACUCGCAGAAUAAGCACCGGCUAACUCUGUGCCAGCAGCCGCCGUAA
rnacentral:rRNA from 1 species